rnacentral:rRNA from 1 species
UUAAAUUGAAGAGUUUGAUCAUGGCUCAGAUUGAACGCUGGCGGCAGGCCUAACACAUGCAAGUCGAACGGUAACAGGAAGCAGCUUGCUGCUUCGCUGACGAGUGGCGGACGGGUGGGUAAUGUCUGGGAACCUGCCUGAUGGAGGGGAAUAACUACUGGAAACGGUAGCUAAUACCGC